UGCGUAGGCGGCCCGUUAAGUCAGGGGUGAAAGGCUGUAGCUCAACUACAGAAUUGCCUUUGAUACUGACAGGCUUGAAAUAAAUUGAGGUUGGCGGAAUGUGACAUGUAGCGGUGAAAUGCAUAGAUAUGUCAUAGAACACCAAUUGCGAAGGCAGCUGACUAGAUUUUAUUUGACGCUGAGGCACGAAAGCGUGGGGAGCGAACAGGAUUAGAUACCCUGGUAGUC
rnacentral:rRNA from 1 species